GCGCAGAAGGCGUGAAAAGAUCAAUGAAAGCUUUGAAGCAUUGAGAAAAAUUCUCCCUACAGAAGCCAAGAAAGACAAAGCAUCGGUGCUUACUCGAACAAGGGAGUACUUAACCUCUCUGAAAGCUCAAGUCGAAGAGCUUAGCAAGAGAAACCAGCAAUUAGAGGCACAAGUACUACAACAACUACCAGCGAAAGAAGUAGCGCAAGAAGAAAGUGAGACCUCAUCAACUGAAAGAGUUGAACUCCGGCUUGCACAUGUCUCUGAAUCAACCUCAGAAGAACAAAGAAUCAUCGACCUUCA
rnacentral:misc_RNA from 1 species